UACGAAGGGGGCUAGCGUUGCUCGGAAUCACUGGGCGUAAAGGGCGCGUAGGCGGCGUUUUAAGUCGGGGGUGAAAGCCUGUGGCUCAACCACAGAAUGGCCUUCGAUACUGGGACGCUUGAGUAUGGUAGAGGUUGGUGGAACUGCGAGUGUAGAGGUGAAAUUCGUAGAUAUUCGCAAGAACACCGGUGGCGAAGGCGGCCAACUGGACCAUUACUGACGCUGAGGCGCCGAAAGCGUGGGGAGCAAACAGG
rnacentral:rRNA from 1 species